ACGGCUCAGUAACACGUGGAUAACCUGCCCUUUAGGUUCGGCAUAACUCCGGGAAACUGGUGAUAAUUCCGAAUAAACCAUUAUUGCUGGAAUGCUUUUUGGUUCAAAGACUUCGGUUGCCUAAGGAUGGAUCUGCGGUCUAUCAGGUAGUAGUGGGUGUAAGGUACCUACUAGCCUACGACGGAUAUGGGUUGUGAGAGCAAGAGCCCAGAGAUGGAUUCUGAGACAUGAAUCCAGGCCCUACGGGGCGCAGCAGGCGCGAAAACUUUACAAUGCGGGAAACCGCGAUAAGGGGACACCGAGUGCCAGCAUAUUAUGUUGGCUGUCCACAUGUGUAAACGGCAUGUGUUAGCAAGGGCCGGGCAAGACCGGUGCCAGCCGCCGCGGUAACACCGGCGGCCCGAGUGGUAAUCACUUUUAUUGGGUCUAAAGGGUCCGUAGCCGGUUUGAUCAGUUCUUCGGGAAAUCUGACAGCUUAACUGUUAGGCUUCUGGGGAAUACUGUCAGACUUGGGACCGGGAGAGGUAAGAGGUACUACAGGGGUAGGAGUGAAAUCUUGUAAUCCCUGUGGGACCACCAGUGGCGAAGGCGUCUUACCAGAACGGGUCCGACGGUGAGGGACGAAAGCUGGGGGCACGAACCGGAUUAGAUACCCGGGUAGUCCCAGCCGUAAACGAUGUUCGCUAGGUGUCAGGGACGGUGCGACCGUUUCUGGUGCCGCAGGGAAGCCGUGAAGCGAACCACCUGGGAAGUACGGCCGCAAGGCUGAAACUUAAAGGAAUUGGCGGGGGAGCACUACAACGGGUGGAGCCUGCGGUUUAAUUGGAUUCAACGCCGGGAA
rnacentral:rRNA from 1 species